AUGGAAAGACAAGAUGAGGGUGUUGUCAGUUGCGCAACAUACAUUUCCCUGGUAUAGGUUUGAGUUUGACAUGUACCAAAAGCAUAAGUUCAUAUGGAGGUCGUACACCGAUGAGGUUGUAGCCAACUUACCCGCCAAUUAUGACGUCGGGAGUGACUUGUGGGUAGCCCAAGUGCCACUCAUAUGCUUUCAUAUUGUCAAGUGGUAUAUCCCUGAUUGAGUUCUGUGAUAGUUUGGCUAUUGUCAGGGCAUUCCCAACCCCUUCUCAACAUCGGGGGUACAUAUACAUGGCACAACCUCCAUACAAUUGAUGGACGCGUUCGAGGGGUGCCCGACUGGACGACCUUCCAUGGUAUGUGGAUGUAUGGGAUCAUCAGGGAGAGUAUAUCAUCUCAGUGGAGUGGGAGGAGUCCUUUGCAUCCGAAUGACCCAUACUUGAGGUGGUAUAGGUCCAUCACACGAUGCUUCGUGGAUAGGACUGCUGUUGUAAAUAUUAGCCUCUACAGGGAUUGGAGAGAGCUGGAUUGAUGAUUGUCCACGAGGACGGAUGAUGGACCCAUAUACAUCGACCUGACCUACCUGCAUGAGUAGGUCAAGGAGCUUCAAUACGAGGAGGGCAUGCUCCGCGUGCAUCUAGUGGUUCAUGAAGCCGCUCUAAUGAGCCACCUAUUGUACAUAGUGAGUACAUGUUUAGCUCGUCAGCACCUUAUGCAUGUUCGGCGGGAGCUAAUAUUGCGGAGCCAUCCAAUAGUAGGCUGUACAAUGUAGAUGUUCCUUCAUCCUCCAGGCCUUCAGGUUUUAGUACCUAGUUCGACUCUGCUGCCACCUCAUCCAUGUCAUUCCUGUUGGACGACAGUGUAGAUGCUGAGGACGUGGAUGCACCAACCUUGCCACCUCAUUUUCAUCCAGGAUCAUUAUAUGAGUCAUCUCCCCAUCUGCUUCAUAUGGAUGAUGAUGAUGCAGUACCUCAGGGCGAAGAUGAUAAACAUACAAGACGACGAUGGGGUAGGAGACCGGAUGGAGAUGACCACGAAAGAGAGGGCGGAAGCAAACAACAACCAGCCUGAGACUAGAGAUGACCUCCUUGUGGCACUUAAGUAGGCAUUUUUUGUAUAUGUACUUGACCCCUAUAUUGUGUUGUACAAUAGUUUGAUUCUUUUGAUUUCAUUUGUAUAGCAUCAAUUAUUUUAAUUUCAUUUGUAUAGCCUCAUUGCAUUAUUUCUAUAUAAUUUGGGAUGUUUAUUUGUUGUUC